rnacentral:rRNA from 1 species
UACGUAGGGGGCGAGCGUUGUCCGGAGUUACUGGGCGUAAAGCGCACGCAGGCGGUCUGCUAAGUUUGGAGUGACAGUUGGUGGCUUAACUGCCAAAGUGCUUCGAAAACUGACAGACUUGAGGGCUUCAGAGGGACACGGAAUUCCGGGUGUAGCGGUGGAAUGCGUAGAGAUCCGGAAGAACACCGGUGGCGAAGGCGGCCCGCUGGGCAGAGACUGACGCUGAGGCGCGACAGCGUGGGGAGCAAACAGG